rnacentral:rRNA from 1 species
UGCGCAGGCGGUUUUGUAAGACAGAUGUGAAAUCCCCGGGCUUAACCUGGGAACUGCGUUUGUGACUGCAAGACUUGAGUGUGGCAGAGGGGGGUGGAAUUCCACGUGUAGCAGUGAAAUGCGUAGAGAUGUGGAGGAACACCGAUGGCGAAGGCAGCCCCCUGGGUCAACACUGACGCUCAUGCACGAAAGCGUGGGUAGCAAACAGGAUUAGAUACCCUGGUAGUCCACGCCCUAAACGAUGCGAACUAGGUGUUGGGGAAGGAGACUUCCUUAGUACCGCAGCUAACGCGUGAAGUUCGCCGCCUGGGGAGUACGGUCGCAAGAUUAAA